rnacentral:rRNA from 1 species
UGGGGAAUUUUGGACAAUGGGCGAAAGCCUGAUCCAGCCAUACCGCGUGGGUGAAGAAGGCCUUCGGGUUGUAAAGCCCUUUUGUUGGGAAAGAAAAGCAGCCGGUUAAUACCCGGUUGUUCUGACGGUACCCAAAGAAUAAGCACCGGCUAACUUCGUGCCAGCAGCCGCGGUAAUACGAAGGGUGCAAGCGUUACUCGGAAUUACUGGGCGUAAAGCGUGCGUAGGUGGUUGUUUAAGUCUGUCGUGAAAGCCCUGGGCUCAACCUGGGAAUGGCGAUGGAAACUGGGCGACUAGAGUGUGGCAGAGGGUAGUGGAAUUCCUGGUGUAGCAGUGAAAUGCGUAGAGAUCAGGAGGAACAUCCGUGGCGAAGGCGACUGCCUGGGCCAACACUGACACUGAGGCACGAAAGCGUGGGGAGCAAACA